rnacentral:lncRNA from 1 species
CUAGCUAGAGACUGUUUCUGUCUUGAAACUCAUCAAGUAGGCUAGGCCAGCUGGCCCGUGAGUACCAAAGAUCUACUUAUUUCUGCUCCUACAACACUGGGAUUACAAAUAUGUACCCGCCUUUUUAGGGAUUGAACCCAGGUCCUCAUGCUUGCAAGGUAAGCACUUUACCAACUGAGCCAUCCUCAGCUCUAGUCAGAGUCCUUAGAGCAUUGUUAGUGUCACUGAGCUGAAGCAUUGAUUGCUCUGUGCCUGGCCCUCUAGCAAUGUCCUUUAUGUUCACCUGAGACACUACCCAGCACCACUUAGGGACCAGAGGCCAAGCAGUGACAUGGCCCACCCUACAAGGACGGCUCAGAUCCCUGAGGCUCCUACAAGUUGCCCUGGCAAUCAGAGGCCUUUUUUGGUCAGCAUAUCCCGGAUACCGAGGGACGCCAUCUGCAGAUGAUCUAGGAGUGCAGGUGGAAGGUGUCACCUUGUCAUAGUCCCUACAUCUUAGGAGACCAGCCUGGGAUUGUGACCCGACUCCCAGGGGAGGGCCCGGGUGUACAGAGUAGGAAGCUAGGCCUGGGGAAGGGCCAGCCCAGGCUGCAGGCAGGAUGCAUGGUUCCCAACCACAUCACCAUCCACACACCCGAGGCAUCUCAAACAGGAAAUUCUUUAUUGCAAAGAUACAAAAGCAGUCACGGCGACAUGUACAGCAAUAAAUUAGGUGGUGGCCAUGAGGCAGGGUGCAGACGGGGCCAACAGUCUGUGAUCUUGAUCUCUUCUCAAUAAUUUAUAACAUGGGGGAAAAAAAGCACAAAAAAAAAAUAAAUAUUGAAAUGAAAUUGCCAAGUGGCAGGCGGCUGAGGAUGCCAGGCCUCGGCAUGAUCGGCAUGUGUCCCUGACACCUUUUGAAAUAGUUAAAGCUUGCUUUAAGAAGUCAGAGGAACAAGACAGAAAACUCACUUUUAUCUUUAAAUAAAAACAUCCAUAUAUUAUUAAGUUGUGACAAUGAAAUUUCAGUGACACGAAGCCAUGGGGCAUGCUCACACCCUUCCCAGCCCCCUCCUGGCAGGUGUCCUCUGCAGGUGCUCCAGUGGUACUGACAGCCCUGUCUCCCCUGGCCGCCAAGAGUAUGGGGCCUCCACCCAGGAGGACCACCAGAGGCCAGGAGCGGGCAGCAAGCCAGUCAGUGGUCACCUGCCUACCCUGGAGACCACUCAUCCAGUGACCCGGCCUGCCAGCACCACCACAGAAAGACUGAGGGAGGCUGUUGGCACCCUGGGCCUCCGUUCCCCACCCCACUGUCCAACCUACUCUGCAUUAAUAAAGAUCUACAGUAUCAAACUGGGAAAGAAAAUUGUUAUGAAAAAUCUGUACGAUAAAAUGUGUGUAUAAUUAUAUAUAUAUAUAUAUCUUCUCUCUUUAAAUAUCCAUGGUCCUUAUUGAUAUCCAAUAUGGAUUACCUACCAAGGCUAUGGUUCCAACAGUGCUUUCUAAGUGCCUGGCUGUAGUUCAGCCUGCCCCUGACUCCCUGUCCACCAUAUUCCCCAGGAUCUGGAGGACACAAUUCCUUCAGUUAAAAAAAACCAAGAUGGCCAGUGGCCCCAGAGUGCUAUGAAGGAGGAAAAGGCAGGUAACAAUUGGACACCAAAGUUGCAGAGUAUUUGUGACCUAUAGUCUGCCUGGGGUCCUUGCCGACCUGCCCACAAUGGCUAUGUGCAUAAGGCCCUCCAGAAGUCGUCUCUGUCCCUCCACAGUAUUCCUCUCGGCCUCUUCCACAUCCCCUGGACCUCGGCUUCCACACUAUCCCUGUCUACUUCAUUCCUGUUCUUUCCGCAACAACACACACACGCCACCGACAUACCCCUUAGCAUCUCUCAGGCUUCCCCUGCUCCUCUCCAGCCUCUCCCCUCUGCUAAGGCCCAGAGAACCCGAGCCUGGCUGUUUGCUGGCUCUGUGGACAGGUGGCCCCUGCACCACAAUGGGGUGCAGCCUACCAGACUUCCAGGGACACUCCAUGACACUUGUGUAACCCUCAGCACACAUACCGGCCAGGCUCUCCCACUUGGCCAGCAGUUUCCGGUCUUCACAGGCUGUGAUGGUAGCCUGUGUACACACAGGAACACAUACAUUAGCCCCUGCAAGUGGCUAUAUCAGGAACUGUUUCCCAGGACAUGGGCCUGGCUCUACCUAAGGGCUAAAGCAGGUUGUAGCGCCCUUUAGUAAGGACAGGAAGGCCAGAGCCCAGAAGUGACAGACAGAUGGUGUCCAACCCAGCUGGAGGCCCUUAGAGGGGACGGCACCGAUGACGCUGAUAAGCAGGCACCGGAGAAGUGGAAGACUGAGUCCUCACACUCUGCCACAGAGGCCUAGAGUUGUUCAUCGCGGUUGCCCGUGUGGUUCCUGUCAGCUCCUAGAGACGUACCCCCAGGGGAAGGAGAGAUGUGAGUGGGGGUUGCUUGUGGCACUGGCUCAUGAGAGCUUCCCUUUUAUCCUGCAUCUGCCUGUCCCUGCCGUCCCUGCCCUCAGCCCUGCAGGGUCCACAGUGGGCAGGUAGACAUGAGGAAUCUGUACCAGGGAGCCUGGGAUAGGCAUGAGGGCUGUGCCACUGCCCGCACCCUGCCCGGCCCCAGCAGACACUAGGAGGCCGCUGAGAAGGGCACAGAGGUGGAGGAGAGCUCUGCGGAUUUGACGAUGGUGAUGACACUGGUGGUGGCCACCUUGGUGGGUGUGACAGGCCCUCGGGCCACGGUGCGUGCGAAGGUCUGCAGGGCCUCGUACUUGGAGCGCAGGGCAUCCAGCUCCAGACGCAUGCUGCUGUUCUCACGAGCCAGCUUCUCUACCUCCUGCUGCAGCUCCACCCGCUGCCGCUCCAGCUCCUCCUUCUGUGUCACGCGCUUGAUGCGACAGCUGGCGGCGUAGCCUCGGUUCUUGAGUGUGCGCCGCCGCUGCUUCAGCCGAGUUACCUCCUCCUUGGUGAGCCCCCGCAGGUGCUGGUUCAGCUCCCGCACCGACAUGGACACCAGCUCAUCGUCGCUAAGAACAGGGGCGUUCUCGCCCGCCUCCUUCUUGACCUA